rnacentral:rRNA from 1 species
UACGUAGGGGGCGAGCGUUGUCCGAAGUUACUGGGCGUAAAGCGCACGUAGGCGGCUUUGUAAGUUAGAGGUGAAAGCCCGGGGCUCAACUCCGGAAUUGCCUUUAAGACUGCAUCGCUAGAAUUGUGGAGAGGUAAGUGGAAUUCCGAGUGUAGAGGUGAAAUUCGUAGAUAUUCGGAAGAACACCAGUGGCGAAGGCGACUUACUGGACACAUAUUGACGCUGAGGUGCGAAAGCGUGGGGAGCAAACAGG